rnacentral:snRNA from 1 species
GUGCUCACUUCAGCAGCACGUAUACUAAAAUUGGAACAAUACGGAGAAGAUUAGCAUGGUCCCUGCGCAAAGAUGACAUGCAAAUCUGUGAAGCGUUCCAUAUUUUA